CUAAAUAUGGCUUUAGCCUAGUGAAAGGGAAAGCAAAUCAUCCUAUGGAGGAUUAUCAUGUUGCAAAGUUUGUUCAGAUCCAAGGACAUGUGCUUGGACUUUUUGCUAUCUAUGAUGGGCAUUUAGGAGAUAGUGUACCUGCCUAUCUUCAGAAGCACUUGUUUAACAAUAUCUUAAAGGAUGAGGAGUUUUGGACAGAUACUAACAAGUCCAUUUUAAAAGCCUAUGAGAAGACAGACCAGGCUAUUCUCUUACAUAGUCCUGACUUGGGAUGUGGUGGGUCAACGGCUGUCACUGCAAUUCUGAUAAA
rnacentral:misc_RNA from 1 species